AAAUGCAAAUAAUAAAAAAUAAUAAUUUAAUUACAAGUAUGGGAAUGAAGGGGGUUAAAAUGUGCUUAGACUAUUUUUAGGCUAAAACGGUCAUAAAAUAAGCUUGUUUCCUUUAAGCAAAGCAAAAUAUUCCUUAUUCUUUCUUUUGAGUUUUGGGGUGAAAUAUAGCAUGUUUCCGGCAGGUUUUGUGAGAUUCACCCUCACAGACUUGUCAACUUGGCAGUAUUAUUAUCAUCAGUGAAUAGUUUAUUCUACUUAAUCUGACAUGAAACAAGAUUAGUAAACCAUGUUUGGCAGCGAUUAAAUCAUUCUUGCAUUGAUAUCAUGACAAAAGAGGAACUAAACAGCAGAUAUUAAAUGUACAAUUCAAUAACUCAUCAAAAGUUUCAUUUUCAAGAAUACUGCGUCUUAUUUAAACUCAUCUUGGUUUCUUAGGACCCGAACGUGUACUUGACGGGUUUCUAGAGAUUCGCUCUCGAACAUAAUUACAUACAUCUGUCCAUUUAUACCUACAGUCUUGAGUUCUACAAGGUUUAAAAUAAGAAAACUCCCGUUUUGACCUCUGCUAGUCUGCUGACAAGUGCAUUAAAACACGCAUGCAUACAUUAAUUCUACAGGCACAUAUAGACAGACAGGAAAUAUAGAGCUACCACGGCUUCCGUUAUUGCAUAGGCUCUAAACAGAGGGAGGUUAAACAGCGAGCGCUGCCACACAAGGCCGGUUUCAGUUUCCACGCAAAUAAAAAUGGGGAAUAAAAACCAGAGAUCAAAGUCAGCAGCAAAUGAAAGACACAAGUCAAAAGAUUGUGGGAAAGUGUUUUCAGAUGUUCGUGAGUUUGUGUUUAUGAUCUUUCGGUGACACUUUUAUGUUCAAGAUGAGUUUUUUAGAUAAGUCUCAACUAAGAUUAAAAGUGGUAACUUUUAAGACUAAUAGGGUUCAUAUCAGUAACCCUGUGAAGAACAUAUUUCCAGGUCAUAGGUCAUAUUUCACCCUUAAAACAGCAAGAAAAAAACCCAAAUGAUAUAUGUUAUUUAAAGAAAACGAAGUCUAAUUUUUACUUAUUUACUUUUUUGGCAUGACAUUAUUUUGAAGCACUUCUGAAAUGCAAAAACAAAUAUAUUUUUUUAAAAGUUAUUGAAGUAUUUACACAUCAUGGUAAUAUUUGUUGUACUGUCUUUAUGCUGAUUUAAACAAUAAUAAAAUAAUAUAAUAAAAUACAAAUAUUUGCAUUAAUGAGCUGUUAUUCCCAUUGAAAAUAAUGAGAAUUAUAACCGAUAUACCGGUUUUCCCGGUAGGUCGCGAGUACAAGCGGCCGAAAUGGGCUUCCUCAGAAGGGUGGCGGGCUUCUCCCUUAGAGAUAGGAUGAGGAGCUCAGUCAUCCGUGAGGAGCUCGGAGUAGAGCCGCUGCUCCUUUGCGUCGAAAGGAGUCAGUUGAGGUGGCUUGGGCAUCGGGUAAGGAUGCCCCCUGGCCACCUCCCUAGGGAGGUGUUUCAGGCACGUCCAGCUGGGAGGAGGCCUCGGGGAAGACCCAGG